rnacentral:sRNA from 23 species
GUCAACCACCCCAUGGCUAAAGCCAGGAGCUUGUAGGGAGCGAUCUUAACAAGCUCAGUUGACCAGCCUAAGUCCUUCGGAGACUACGUUAUCGAGGUCACGACACCCUGGAAUGCGUGCAAGUUCCAGGCAACUGUC